rnacentral:rRNA from 1 species
UACGUAGGGUGCGAGCGUUGUCCGGAAUUACUGGGCGUAAAGAGCUCGUAGGCGGUUUGUCGCGUCUGCUGUGAAAACUCGGGGCUUAACUCCGGGCCUGCAGUGGGUACGGGCAGACUAGAGUGCGGUAGGGGAGACUGGAAUUCCUGGUGUAGCGGUGAAAUGCGCAGAUAUCAGGAGGAACACCGGUGGCGAAGGCGGGUCUCUGGGCCGUAACUGACGCUGAGGAGCGAAAGCGUGGGGAGCGAGCAGG